rnacentral:rRNA from 1 species
CAGAGGUCCCGAGGCGUUGUUCGGAUUCAUUGGGCGUAAAGGGGUGCGUAGGCGGCGGGGGCAAGUCUGAUGUGAAGUACUCGGGGCUCAACCCUGGAACUGCAUUGGAUACUGUCGGACUAGAGUACAGAAGGGGCAACUGGAAUUCUCGGUGUAGCGGUGAAAUGCGUAGAUAUCGAGAGGAACACCUGCGGCGAAGGCGGGUUGCUGGGCUGAUACUGACGCUGAGGCGCGAAAGCCAGGGGAGGCGAACGGG